CUAGGUGUCGGUCAAUAGGUAGGCUCCUGCAUUUGGGAUGCAGAUGUUGAAGGUUCGAGUCCUUUCGCCUAGA
rnacentral:tRNA from 1 species